ensembl:lncRNA
GGAAAUUAUAAAGUCACAUCCUGCAGCAGCAGCUUGGCACGAAUAUUUAAAAAAAGGGAAAAACCAGCCUGCUAUCCACAGUGUCCCGGGUCCAUUGUAAAACACUGGCCUGUGUUCUCGUGGUGAGACUGGAUGAUCCAGUUGGAGCUCCCCAAGGAGUAACCAGAGCUUAAGGGCGAGACCCGGACCGCUCCAAACAACUCCUGGAUACAGAGAGGUUGUUACUGUGUACCUCAGGGAGACAGAACUCUGGCUGGGAGUCCACAAACACUCUUCGGGUCGUCGUCAUGCAGGGAGACGCAGCAACGACCCAUCGCCAACGCUCUUACGCACACGGGGCAUUUCAUCCGUUCUUCUUUGCAGAACCUCUCAGGUUCCAUCAGGUUGGAUGUUGUACAAUUUAAAUUAAUUUAUAUAGGUUUGCCACUUCUGGAAAAGGAAACUUGUGAUUUACAGAAGUUAUAUCCAAUUCC